rnacentral:rRNA from 1 species
UACGAAGGGGGCUAGCGUUGCUCGGAAUCACUGGGCGUAAAGCGCACGUAGGCGGUUUGUUAAGUCGGAUGUGAAAUCCCUCGGCUCAACUAAGGAAGUGCAUCCGAAACUGGCAGGCUUGAGUACUAAAGAGGGUCGCGGAAUUCCCGGUGUAGAGGUGAAAUUCGUAGAUAUCGGGAGGAACACCGGUGGCGAAGGCGGCGACCUGGGUAGAUACUGACGCUGAGGUGCGAAAGCGUGGGGAGCAAACAGG